rnacentral:rRNA from 1 species
CAAUAGCGUAUAUUAAAGUUGUUGCAGUUAAAAAGCUCGUAGUUGGGUUUCGGGAUGGCCCGGCCGGUCUGCCGCAAGGUAUGUUACUGGCCGAGCUGUUCUUCUUCGCAAAGACUGUGUGUGCUCUUAACUGAGUGUGCUCAGGAUCUGUGACGUUUACUUUGAAAAAAUUAGAGUGUUCAAAGCAAGCCAGCGCUUGAAUACAUAAGCAUGGAAUAAUGGAAUAGGACUUUGGUUCUAUUUUGUUGGUUUCUGGAACCUUAGUAAUGAUUAAGAGAGACAGUUGGGGGCAUUCGUAUUUCGUUGUCAGAGGUGAAAUUCUUGGAUUUACGAAAGACGAACUACUGCGAAAGCAUUUGCCAAGAAUGUUUUCAUUAA